rnacentral:rRNA from 1 species
AGUGAACGCUGGCGGUAGGCCUAACACAUGCAAGUCGAACGGCAGCACAGUAAGAGCGUGCUCUUACGGGUGGCGAGUGGCGGACGGGAGAGGAAUACAUCGGAAUCUACUUUUUGGGGGGGGAUAACGUAGGGAAACUUACUCCAAUACCGCAUACGACCUACGAGGGAAAGCAGGGGAACUUCUGACCUUGCGCGGAUGAAUGAGCCGCUGUUGGAUUAGCUAGUUGGCGGGGGGAAGGCCAACCCAGGCGACGAUCCGUAGCUGGUCUGUGAGGAUGGUCGCCCGCCUUGGAGCUUGGACACCGUCCAGACUCCUGCGGGAGGCCGCAGUGUCGUAUAUUGGACAGUGGGCGCGAGUCUUGCCCAGUCAUACCGCGUGGGUUACGACGGCCUUGCGGUUGUAAUGCCCUUUUUUUGGGAAAGAACCGCAUCAGGUUAAUACCCCGCUGUUCUGACGGUACCCAAAGAAUAAGCACCGGCUAACUUCGUG